ensembl:lncRNA
GUCCAUGGGGUCGCAAAGAGUCAGACACGACUGGGCGGCUGAACAGAACUGACCUGUAAGGCCAUCAUCGGAGGUACUGCGGGAAGGUGCCCACGCCCCCACUGAGGGGCACCCUGAUGGCUUCCCAUGUUGGCCGUGAUGAAUAAGCUGCCGACUCAUCCAGGAGCAGGUUUUUGCAGGGACUGAAGUUUUCAGCUCUUUGGGGUUAGGAACCAAGGGUCGUGGUGGCUGAACCGCGUGGUGUGUGUGCUGCGGCCUCUGCUGGUGCCAGCGUUUCGGUUUGGGCCUUACAGACGUGUAGGGACAAAGUUCUUUUAUUUUAGGCAAACAUUUUCAUGUGUUAGAUCUGACGUCCUGACAUGGGUUCCCCCCCAACUCCGAGCUUGGUGCCAGGGAGACCCAGCAGUGGCCCUGGGGAGGAGGCACCCCCCAUGGGCAGGUGAGGAUGGGGGUGGGCAGGAGCCCCCCCGGGGGGUAGCCUCCCUGCUGUGUUUUGCAAGCCAGACUGGGGAGUGGGGGCUUCUUCCUGAGAGUAGUGGGCGUCCCCCGAGGGCUCCAAGUUGGGAGUUGUGGGGAGGGAGGUAAGACAAGCCUGGAAGUGCCUUGGGGCUGCUGCUGAGGCCCACAGUGCCUGAACAGAUGAAAGAGUGAGGCACACUGGACCGGCCGGGGAAGGUGCGGGCAGCAGGGGCGGAGGUGGGAGGGGCUGUGGCUUUACAGGAGGCCUUCAGAGAGCCUCUGGAGGAGCCGGCAUUCCCAGGGCACGCAGAGGCCGCGUGCGAAGGCCCCCAGCCACGUGACAGAGGCAGAGGGCGGGGUGGGGGGGCGAGCCCCGGGCCCGCAGGUCUCCCCAGGUUCACAGGCCCAGAAGCUGAGCAGGUCUCCCCCUCCUGGGGUCGGGGGGGCUUCAUCACAGAAUACAACUGAGGAAGUCAUUGGCCACUGACCGUGUGCUCACCCUCCGGCCUGUCUCCCCUCCUCAAGGCGGUGGGGGUCCUGGAGUCCCUCCCGACUCAGGGCAGGCUCUCCUGCCGUCAGCCCCCUUCCUUGGGUCUUUUCCCAGAGCUUCCCCGUGAACAUCACUCCAGCAGCACAGAAGAGGGACUCGCUGUGAACAUAAAUGGCAAGGCCCCCACGUCCGCUUCACGGCUCUCGGGGGUUUCAGGACUGGGGAGAAAGGCAGCAGGCGCUCUCACCGGUGACGCUGUCUGGACCCCACUGCUGGGGCGCCAGGGGAGGGAGGCGUGGGCCGG